rnacentral:lncRNA from 1 species
AUGCAACUUUCCCAUCCCCAGGAUCACAGCUUAAGACUUGGGGCUAGAGAGAUACCCACCCCUGGGCUCAAGCUAAGGAACACAGAGACCUCAGGAGGACACUGCCCCGGGGCCAGUCCAGCUGAAACACCAAGAAGCAGCUUGGAGCCUGGCCAUUCGGGGUAUGAAAAACAUCAGGGGACCAAAGGCAAGGGGAGGAGUCCCAGUGGGUCCAGGACCCGGUUCCAGUUCAGGUUCACUGGAAACAACACAGUGAGCCUGCUUUGUGCUUUAAGUUCCCCAGAAGUGACUCUACAGAAUCAGAAAAUUACUUCUUCCAUCAGGCAUCACCACGUGUCGAGGAAAUAAAACAAAGACNGUGGAGGUUCCCAGACUAGGGGUCUAAUUGGAGCUGUAGCCACUGGCCUAAACCACAGCUCACGGCAACACCUGAUCCUUAACCCACAGAGCGAGGCCAGGGACCGAACCUGCGUCCUCAUGGAUGCCAGUUGGGUUCAUUAACCGCUGAGCCACGACAGGAACUCCCUAGCGGUCCCCUUUGAUGUAGGAGUGAUGGCCUAGAUGUCAAAUUUCCUUCCUUACCGACCCCCAGCCAUGUCCUCUCAUUCCUGGUUUCCACCUUUGUCUGCUGCACUGCGCAGGUGGAAUCAGAGGAGCUAGGUCAGUAAACUGGCUAGGAUUGGGGGUGUGGCUUUGGGGUGCAGCUAGGCAGACCGCCCCACCUCCCUCCAGGAUUUCAGGAUCUGUGAGAAGG